rfam:Ciona savignyi cont_45333, whole genome shotgun sequence.
ACAUCGAUAACUGGGGUAAUUCUAGAGCUAAUUCUGCGAGAAGCGCCGACCUCGCGGGAGGCGUGCAUUUAUCAGACCAAAAACCGGCCGCGUCUUCGGGCGCGUUCGCCUUGGUGACUCUGGAUAACUUUGCGGAUCGCACGGUCUAGCACCGGCGACGGAUCAUUCAAGUGUCUGCCCUAUCAACUUUCGUCGGUACGGUAUUUGCCUACCGAGGUUCUUACGGGUGACGGGGAAUCAGGGUUCGAUUCCGGAGAGGGAGCCUGAGAAACGGCUACCACAUCCAAGGAAGGCAGCAGGCGCGCAAAUUACCCAUUCCCGACGCGGGGAGGUAGUGACGAAAAAUAACAAUGCAGGACUCGUUCGAGGCCCUGUAAUUGGAAUGAGUACACUUUAAAAGCUUUAACGAGUAUCCAUUGGAGGGCAAGUCUGGUGCCAGCAGCCGCGGUAAUUCCAGCUCCAAAAGUAUAUAUUUAAGUUGUUGCGGUUAAAAAGCUCGUAGUUGGAUUUUGGGCGCAGGCGGCCGGUCCGUCGCAAGGCGUGUACUGGACGUCCUGGCCUUCCCUCCGGUUCUCCGCCGGUGCUCUUGACUGAGUGUCGGCGGCGGCCGGAACGUUUACUUUGAAAGAAUUAGAGUGUUCAAAGCAGGCUCUCGAGCCUGGAUAAUGGUGCAUGGAAUAAUGGAAUAGGACCUCGGUUCUAUUUUGUUGGUUUUCGGAGCGCGAGGUAAUGAUUAAGAGGGACAGACGGGGGCAUUCGUACUGUGCCGUUAGAGGUGAAAUUCUUGGAUCGGCGCAAGACGAACGACUGCGAAAGCAUUUGCCAAGAAUGUUUUCUUUAAUCAAGAGCGAAAGUCAGAGGUUCGAAGACGAUCAGAUACCGUCCUAGUUCUGACUAUAAACGAUGCCAACUAGCGAUCGGGGGGCGUUACAUUGACGACCCCUCCGGCAGCUUACGGGAAACCAAAGUCUUUGGGUUCCGGGGGAAGUAUGGUUGCAAAGCUGAAACUUAAAGGAAUUGACGGAAGGGCACCACCAGGAGUGGAGCCUGCGGCUUAAUUUGACUCAACACGGGAAAUCUCACCCGGCCCGGACACAGUGAGGAUUGACAGAUUGAGAGCUCUUUCUUGAUUCUGUGGGUGGUGGUGCAUGGCCGUUCUUAGUUGGUGGAGCGAUUUG